UACGUAGGGGGCAAGCGUUGUCCGGAUUUACUGGGCGUAAAGAGCGUGUAGGCGGCCACGCAGGUCCGUUGUGAAAACUGGAGGCUCAACCUUCAGACGUCGACGGAAACCGUAUGGCUAGAGUCCGGAAGAGGAGAGUGGAAUCCUGGUGUAGCGGUGAAAUGCGCAGAUAUCAGGAAGAACACCAAUGGCGAAGGCAGCUCUCUGGGACGGUA
rnacentral:rRNA from 1 species